GACGAACGCUGGCGGCGUGCUUAACACAUGCAAGUCGAACGGAAAGGCCCUGCUUUUGUGGGGUUCUCGAGUGGCGAACGGGUGAGUAACACGUGAGUAACCUGCCCUUGACUUCGGGAUAACUUCAGGAAACUGCGGCUCAUACCGGAUAGGAGCUCCUGCUGCAUGUUGGGGGUUGGAAAGUUUCGGCGGUUGUGGCUGGACUCGCGGCUUAUCAGCUUGUUGGUGUGGUAGUGACUUACGAAGGGUUUGAAGGGUAGCCGGCCUGAGAGGGGGACCGGCCACCUUGGGACUGCGAGACGGAGCAGAAGCCUAUGGGCGGCAGCAGUGGGGAAUCUUGCGCAAUGGGCGGAAGCCUGAUGUAACAGUCCCGGGUGCGUAAUGACGGCUUACGGGGUAAAAACCGCUUUCGACGGAAACGAAGCGAGAGUGACGGUAAUUGGUAAAGAAGCACCGGCUAACUACGUG
rnacentral:rRNA from 1 species